CCUACGGGCGGCAGCAGUGAGGAAUUUUGGUCAAUGGCCGAGAGGCUGAACCAGCGAAGUCGCGUGAGGGAAUACGGCCCUACGGGUUGUAAACCUCUUUUGUCGGGGAGCAAAGCGAACCACGAGUGGCUCAUUGAGAGUACCCGACGAAAAAUCAUCGGCUAACCCCGUGCCAGCAGCGGCCGUAAUACGUGGGAUGCAUGCGUUAUCUGGAUUUAUUGGGUUAAUGGGUUGCGCAGGCGGUGGUGCAAGUCAGCGGUCAAAUUGCGGGGCGCAACCCCGUACUGCAGUUGAAACUGCAGCCCUUGAGUGAGCGAGAAGUAUGCGGAAUGCGUGGUGUAGCAGUGAAAUGCAUAGAUAUCACGCAGAACUCCGAUUGCGAAGGCAGCAUACCGGCGCGCAACUGACGCUCAUGCACGAAAGCGUGGGUAUCGAACAGGAUUAGAUACCCGAGUAGUC
rnacentral:rRNA from 1 species